rnacentral:misc_RNA from 1 species
UCUCCGUUGGUGAACCAGCGGAGGGAUCAUUACCGAGUUUACAACUCCAAAACCCCUGUGAACAUACCAUUUGUUGCCUCGGCGGUGCCUGCUUCGGCAGCCCGCCAGAGGACCCAAACCCUUGAUUUUAUACAGUAUCUUCUGAGUAAAUGAUUAAAUAAAUCAAAACUUUCAACAACGGAUCCCUUGGUUCUG